UACGUAGGUGGCAAGCGUUGUCCGGAUUUACUGGGCGUAAAGCGCGCGCAGGCGGACUGGUCAGUCCGGGGUGAAAUCUCACGGCUCAACCGUGAGUGGUCCCUGGAUACUGCCAGCCUUGAGGUGUCUAGAGGAGAGCGGAAUUCCUGGUGUAGCGGUGAAAUGCGCAGAUAUCAGGAAGAACACCCGUGGCUAAGGCGGUUCUCUAGUACGGUACUGACGCUGAGACGCGAAAGCGUGGGGAGCGAACAGG
rnacentral:rRNA from 1 species